UUCAAUAUAGCUUAAAUAAAGCAUCGAUUUUGUAAACCGAAGAUAUAUAAAAAUAUUUUUGAAA
rnacentral:tRNA from 1 species